GGGCCAUUAGCUCAGUUGGUAGAGCAGCUGACUCUUAAUCAGCGGGUCGGGGGUUCGAGCCCCUCAUGGCCCA
rnacentral:tRNA from 1 species